rnacentral:rRNA from 1 species
CGCGUAGGUGGCUUUGUGUAUCCUUAUUAAAAGGCUACUGCUCAACAGUAGUUUUGAUGAGGAGAUUGCAUUGCUAGAAAAAAUCAGAGGCAAGCGGAACUUGUGGUGGAGGAGUAAAAUCCGUUGAUCUCACAAGGAACACCAAUGGCGAAGGCAGCUUGCUGGGAUUUUUUGACACUGAGGCGCGAAAGCGUGGGUAGCGAACGGGAUUAGAUACCCCGGUAGUCCACGCCGUAAACGAUGCAGACUGGAUGUUGGAGGCAUCGACCCCCCAGCAUCGAAGCUAACGCGUUAAGUCUGCCGCCUGGGGAGUACGGCCGCAAGGCUAAA